GUGGGGAAUAUUGGACAAUGGGCGCAAGCCUGAUCCAGCCAUGCCGCGUGAGUGAUGAAGGCCUUAGGGUUGUAAAGCUCUUUCGUCAGGGAAGAUAAUGACGGUACCUGAAGAAGAAGCCCCGGCUAACUUCGUGCCAGCAGCCGCGGUAAUACGAAGGGGGCUAGCGUUGCUCGGAAUCACUGGGCGUAAAGCGCACGUAGGCGGCUUUCUAAGUCAGGGGUGAAAUCCUGGAGCUCAACUCCAGAACUGCCUUUGAUACUGGAGAGCUUGAGUUCGGGAGAGGUGAGUGGAACUGCGAGUGUAGAGGUGAAAUUCGUAGAUAUUCGCAAGAACACCAGUGGCGAAGGCGGCUCACUGGCCCGAUACUGACGCUGAGGUGCGAAAGCGUGGGGAGCAAACAGGAUUAGAUACCCCUGUAGUCC
rnacentral:rRNA from 1 species